ACCUGGGUGGUUCAGUUGUUAGAGCAUCUGACUUCAGCUCAGGACAUGAUCUUGUGGUUUGUGGGUUCCAGCCCUGCAUCAGGCU
rnacentral:tRNA from 1 species